rnacentral:lncRNA from 1 species
GAGAUUGCAUCCCACGCAGGCAGCCCCCUUCCGUACAAGAGAGGCUGGCGGUUACCUUUCUUGGGGAGACGCGUCCGACUGCUUCAUUGUGGGGGCCUCAGGAGCGGAGGAUCGGGUCCCGCCCGAGGUGACGCGUAAACCCAGACUCUCAGCAACGCGGGUAGGAAGGACCCUUGAAGUUCCGCGGCGACCACGUCGGCUGAAACCAGCAGCCCAGGACAAGUGGACCAGCCAGCAAGACCCAGACCAUCCAAACCGGCUGAUCCUACGACAGGACCCAGAUGCCAGUGAAAGUGACCACAGCCCUGCUCUAGUCACCCCGGAAGCUGACCAGUCUACGCACGGCCGAAGCUUCGUCAAGGAAGUAAAUGUAGUUAGAAAUCUUAAGCCCAGUAAUUUUCCUUGUCAUCUUAAUUGUUUUACUAUUAACCUGUCGCUUUGCUCAACCCCCUCCUCUGGGCAAACAUCUCUUGUCCAUCCUAGGUACAAACAUGCUACUCUUCCCUUUG